rnacentral:rRNA from 1 species
CUGGGCGUAAAGCGAGCGCAGACGGUUACUUAAGCAGGAUGUGAAAUCCCCGGGCUYAACCUGGGAACUGCGUUCUGAACUGGGUGACUAGAGUGUGUCAGAGGGAGGUAGAAUUCCACGUGUAGCAGUGAAAUGCGUAGAGAUGUGGAGGAAUACCGAUGGCGAAGGCAGCCUCCUGGGAUAACACUGACGUUCAUGCUCGAAAGCGUGGGUAGCAAACAGGAUUAGAUACCCUGGUAGUCCACGCCCUAAACGAUGUCAAUUAGCUGUUGGGCAACUUGAUUGCUUAGUAGCGUAGCUAACGCGUGAAAUUGACCGCCUGGGGAGUACGGUCGCAAGAUUAAAACUCAAAGGAAUUGACGGGGACCCGCACAAGCGGUGGAUGAUGUGGAUUAAUUCGAUGCAACGCGAAGAACCUUACCUGGUCUUGACAUGUACGGAAUCCUCCAGAGACGGAGGAGUGCCUUCGGGAGCCGUAACACAGGUGCUGCAUGGCUGUCGUCAGCUCGUGUCGUGAG